rnacentral:rRNA from 1 species
UUAAAAAGCUCGUAGUUGGAUUUCUGUUGAGGACGACCGGUCCGCCCUCUGGGUGAGUAUCUGGCUCGGCCUUGGCAUCUUCUUGGAGAACGUAACUGCACUUGACUGUGUGGUGCGGCAUCCAGGACUUUUACUUUGAGGAAAUUAGAGUGUUUCAAGCAGGCGUACGCCUUGAAUACAUUAGCAUGGAAUAAUGAGAUAGGACCUUGGUUCUAUCUUGUUGGUUUCUAGAGCUGAGGUAAUGAUUAAUAGGGAUAGUUGGGGGCAUUCGUAUUUAAUUGUCAGAGGUGAAAUUCUUGGAUUUAUUAAAGACGGACUACUGCGAAAGCAUUUGCCAAGGAUGUUUUCAUUGAUCAAGAACGAAAGUCAGGGGAUCGAAGACGAUCAGAUACCGUCCUAGUCUUAACCAUAAACCAUGCCGACUAGAGAUUGGAGGUCGUUAACUAUACGACUCCUUCAGCACCUUAUGAGAAAUCAAAGUCUUUGGGUUCCGGGGGGAGUAUGGUCGCAAGGCUGAAACUUAAAGGAAUUGACGGAAAGGCACCACCAGGAGUGGAGCCUGCGGCUUAAUCUGACUCAACACGGGGAA